rnacentral:rRNA from 1 species
GGAAUAUUGGGCAAUGGGCGCAAGCCUGACCCAGCAACGCCGCGUGAGGGAAGAAGGUUUUCGGAUUGUAAACCUCUGUCCUAUGUGACGAAGGAAGUGACGGUAGCAUAGGAGGAAGCCCCGGCUAACUACGUGCCAGCAGCCGCGGUAAUACGUAGGGGGCGAGCGUUGUCCGGAAUUACUGGGCGUAAAGGGUGCGUAGGCGGUCUGGUAAGUUGGAUGUGAAAUACCCGGGCUUAACUUGGGUGCUGCAUCCAAUACUGUCGGACUUGAGUGCAGGAGAGGAAAGCGGAAUUCCUAGUGUAGCGGUGAAAUGCGUAGAUAUUAGGAGGAACACCAGUGGCGAAGGCGGCUUUCUGGACUGUAACUGACGCUGAGGCACGAAAGCGUGGGGAGCAAACA